UUAUUGGAGAGUUUGAUCCUGGCUCAGGACGAACGCUGGCGGCGUGCCUAAUACAUGCAAGUCGAGCGAAUCUGAGGGAGCUUGCUCCUAAAGAUUAGCGGCGGACGGGUGAGUAACACGUGGGCAACCUGCCUGUAAGACUGGGAUAACUUCGGGAAACCGGAGCUAAUACCGGAUAAUCCUUUUCUACUCAUGUAGAAAAGCUGAAAGAUGGCUUCGGCUAUCACUUACAGAUGGGCCCGCGGCGCAUUAGCUAGUUGGUGAGGUAACGGCUCACCAAGGCGACGAUGCGUAGCCGACCUGAGAGGGUGAUCGGCCACACUGGGACUGAGACACGGCCCAGACUCCUACGGGAGGCAGCAGUAGGGAAUCUUCCGCAAUGGACGAAAGUCUGACGGAGCAACGCCGCGUGAGUGAUGAAGGUUUUCGGAUCGUAAAACUCUGUUGUUAGGGAAGAACAAGUACCGUUCGAAUAGGGCGGUACCUUGACGGUACCUAACCAGAAAGCCACGGCUAACUACGUGCCAGCAGCCGCGGUAAUACGUAGGUGGCAAGCGUUGUCCGGAAUUAUUGGGCGUAAAGCGCGCGCAGGUGGUUUCUUAAGUCUGAUGUGAAAGCCCCCGGCUCAACCGGGGAGGGUCAUUGGAAACUGGGAGACUUGAGUGCAGAAGAGGAAAGUGGAAUUCCAAGUGUAGCGGUGAAAUGCGUAGAGAUUUGGAGGAACACCAGUGGCGAAGGCGACUUUCUGGUCUGUAACUGACACUGAGGCGCGAAAGCGUGGGGAGCGAACAGGAUUAGAUACCCUGGUAGUCCACGCCGUAAACGAUGAGUGCUAAGUGUUAGAGGGUUUCCGCCCUUUAGUGCUGCAGCAAACGCAUUAAGCACUCCGCCUGGGGAGUACGGCCGCAAGGCUGAAACUCAAAGGAAUUGACGGGGCCCGCACAAGCGGUGGAGCAUGUGGUUUAAUUCGAAGCAACGCGAAGAACCUUACCAGGUCUUGACAUCCUCUGACAAUCCUAGAGAUAGGACGUUCCCCUUCGGGGGACAGAGUGACAGGUGGUGCAUGGUUGUCGUCAGCUCGUGUCGUGAGAUGUUGGGUUAAGUCCCGCAACGAGCGCAACCCUUGAUCUUAGUUGCCAGCAUUCAGUUGGGCACUCUAAGGUGACUGCCGGUGACAAACCGGAGGAAGGUGGGGAUGACGUCAAAUCAUCAUGCCCCUUAUGACCUGGGCUACACACGUGCUACAAUGGAUGGUACAAAGGGCUGCAAGACCGCGAGGUUUAGCCAAUCCCAUAAAACCAUUCUCAGUUCGGAUUGCAGGCUGCAACUCGCCUGCAUGAAGCCGGAAUCGCUAGUAAUCGCGGAUCAGCAUGCCGCGGUGAAUACGUUCCCGGGCCUUGUACACACCGCCCGUCACACCACGAGAGUUUGUAACACCCGAAGUCGGUGGGGUAACCGCAAGGAGCCAGCCGCCUAAGGUGGGACAGAUGAUUGGGGUGAAGUCGUAACAAGGUAGCCGUAUCGGAAGGUGCGGCUGGAUCACCUCCUUU
rnacentral:rRNA from 1 species